rnacentral:rRNA from 1 species
GUCAACGGCAUGCCACCCAGAACAGGCCCAAUCCCAUCCAAUCUCGGAAGCUAAGCAGGGUGGGUCUGGUUAGUACUUGGAUGGGAGACCACGUAGGAAGACCAGAUGCUGUAGGCA